GCUGCAGCCUCCAUUGCGUAGUAGCUAACACCUCGCAACUGGAACGCGGCGCGGCCAUGCCGUAAAACCCCAACUUCUGAAUGUUGACCUCGGAUCAGGUAGGAAUACCCGCUGAACUU
rnacentral:rRNA from 1 species